CGUAGGGUGCAAGCGUUAAUCGGAAUUACUGGGCAUAAAGCGUGCGCAGGCGGUUGUGCAAGACCGAUGUGAAAUCCCCGGGCUUAACCUGGGAAUGGCAUUGGUGACUGCACGGCUAGAGUGUGUCAGAGGGGGUGGAAUUCCACGUGUAGCAGUGAAAUGCGUAGAGAUGUGGAGGAAUACCGAUGGCGAAGGCAGCCCCCUGGAGUAACACUGACGCUCAUGCACGAAAGCGUGGGAGCAAACAGGAUU
rnacentral:rRNA from 1 species